GCUGUGAUUCUUGCAAAAAUUGCCCACUGUGCUGCUAUCAAAUUCUCAGGCGGUUCAACAUGCUGUCUGAUGCCUACUGUCUCCUUGGGCUGGCAUACAAGUACCUGCUGACCCUCUCUCUCACUCAGGUUGCCUGUGAAAGAACAUUCUCUACACUCAAAUUCAUUAAAAGCAGACUCCGAAGCAGCCUGUCUGGAAACAGGCUUGAGAUGUUUAUGCUGAUGGCCACUGAAAAGGACAUUCUUAUGUCAUUGGACUCCGACAUGGUCAUUGACAGGGUAGCUGAGAAGAGUGACCUGCUGAGAAAGCUGCUUUUGUAACCUGGUGGGGUGAAAUAAAAUUAUCAAAACAUUCCUAAUUAUGUUUCAGUUAAGAUUAAAUUCAACUUUAUUGUUAUUGCCUAAAAGUACAGUCAAAUGAAUAGGUUUUGUAUCUAUCUUCACUUCAAACAAGUCACGUGCUCAGAAAAUGCUUAGAAUGUGUCCAUUUUAAUAGGUUUUAAUGCAUAAGACAGUAGAUAGAAUAAAUAUUAGAUAAUAUAAAUAUGAGAGUUUUCUUACAGCCUUAAUCUGUCAUUGUUUCGUUUCAGACUGUCAGUCAAUUUUGGAAGCCUGAAGUGGGUUCAUUUUAAGUUUCCAUAUUCCAUAUGUUAAGAUAUGUUCAGUGUUGCUGCUGUGGAAGUGUUGUGGGUGACUUUUUAUUGAUGCAGGUCUAAUCAUACUUUAAGAGGUUCUCUAGACCAUGCAACUUUUUAAGUUCCUACGGUCCCAUCAUAAUUUCUUAAGAAGUACUGUAUAUGAUGUCAGUAUUUUCCAACAUUUUCUAAAUACUGUACCAGUACUGUGUAAAAUGCCAUCAAAAAGUCAAUUAAGUGUUAUUCUUUCUCACCUUUCUUUCUCUGUCUCCUUUCACUUUUUAAAGGCUGCCAUGUUAAAAAAAAAUAUUUUGUGCUGCCAUGCUGUUUGUUGAUGUGGUAAAUAAAUAGUUUAUGAAAAUACCA